GCCUUUAUCUCCAUCUCCCCAUGUAAAUAGCUUUCCUGAAGAACAAUUGCUCGAACUUGAAGACCCAACCAUGACUUCAACAACUGCAGCAGUGUGCCAAACACCACAGGCUGCUCGGACAGUGCGAAGACCUUUGAGGGACCCCACUUCCCUGGGUGUAGAUACACUUUUGCGGUCCCCAUGGCCUAAAACACCAAAAGUUCCAUCUCCAAAAGUAAACAAUUGCCCAGCAGAAGUUA
rnacentral:misc_RNA from 1 species